rnacentral:ribozyme from 1 species
AGCCGACUAUGCGGCUAUAAAUAGGCAUUAGGCAUAGUGCGUCUGUCCGUCAUGUAAGUGACGGGCAGGGUUGUA